rnacentral:lncRNA from 1 species
AGUAUCUUUUCCUGCCUGCCAGCAUUUGUCGAAGUUGAUGGUCCAGCUGCUGAGUCACCUUCAUCAGCACGAGGUUCACCAGCACCAGCAGUAGUGGAGAAUGCACCUGCCACAUCCCCUUCAUCAGCUCAAGGU